rnacentral:rRNA from 1 species
AACGAACGCUGGCGGCAUGCUUAACACAUGCAAGUCGAACGCCGAGAUGGGGCUUGCCCCAUUAAGGAGUGGCAGACGGGUGCGUAACGCGUGGGAAUGUACCCUUCAGAUUCGAACAACUACGGGAAACUGUAGCUAAUACGGAAUACGAUCGAGAGAUGAAAGAUUUAUCGCUGAAGGAGCAGCCCGCGUGAGAUUAGGUAGUUAGUGUGAUAAAAGCGUACCAAGCCGAUGAUCUCUAGCUGGUUUGAGAGGAUGAUCAGCCACACUGGGACUGAGACACGGCCCAG